rnacentral:rRNA from 1 species
UAAUACGUAGGUGGCAAGCGUUGUCCGGAAUUAUUGGGCGUAAAGCGCGCGCAGGUGGUUCCAAAAGUCUGAUGUGAAAGCCCCCGGCUCAACCGGGGAGGGUCAUUGGAAACUGGGGAACUUGAGUGCAGGAGAGGAAAGUGGAAUUCCACGUGUAGCGGUGAAAUGCGUAGAUAUGUGGAGGAACACCAGUGGCGAAGGCGACUUUCUGGCCUGUAACUGACACUGAGGCGCGAAAGCGUGGGGAGCAAACAGG